GCCAAAGUUCAUUUUGUGCCUAGGCAGUGAAAGAAAUCUCCUGAAGUUAUUUCAAAAGCACCUGGGGUUGUUUGGGGGAGAAGACGCAACAAGGAACCUCACAGAAGACCCAAGACUUAAACAAACACAAGUAGUUCUCACAGGGCUGGAACUGGGAAGUUGGAAUUUUACUUUUCUAUCUCUCAGAGGCAAGGUAGUCUCUCUGAACUCUGCUUCCCUCUGAUAUCAGCUCUGUUUUUCCUCAGCAGUCUUGUCCGGGACCCAGCCCAGUACCCAAGGCUCAACUCCACAUCACUUCCAGGUUCCUGGAAACCAAAGUGAAAAGGGAAACAAUCAGCUACAAGAAACAGUAUUGCACCAUGGUUACAAGAGCAGGUUUUGGCGUAAGACAGCUACUUCCUGACUGCAAGACCUCAGGCAAGGAUGAUAGUGAUGACGACAGUGAGAAUGACCACCACUAAAUCAUCAGGCUUCUUGGCCCUCAUCUUCCUCCCAGAUGUACACUACGUCCAGGAAAUCUCUCCAGUCUCACUGAUCUGUUGAAAUAAAUGACCACGUGUCAGAGCA
rnacentral:lncRNA from 1 species